AUGGCAUUAGUCUAUCUGGAAUCCGGUCGCCAUACAUGGUUAUGGCUCAUCAUCAAUCUUGUUGAGGCAACAUUUCUGUCUGAUGCUAUAGUGCACGAUGGCACCGUUUACGCGGUCGAUGCACAGAUUGGUUGCCUAUACUGGUGCAAUCUAUCGUCGUUACCAUAUAACUGGAAUUACCGAUGCAAGUCGAAGAAGGAUUGGCCGGUGCUGCCGGCUGGCGUCAAGUUCGAUCCCACGGAUCAGGAGCUGAUCGAGCACCUUGAGGCCAAAGUGGGUGCUGACAGCACGAGAUUUCAGUCUCUCAUCGAUUUGUUCAUACCAACCAUCGACAGCAAGCACGGCAUAUGCUACACCCAACCUGAGAAACUUCCAGGUAUCACACUGAGUGGCCUAAGGAAGCAUUUCUUCCAGCGCAAUUCCAGGGCAUUCAAAAGGGGCACGUGGAUGUGUCGCAAGAUACAAUUGGAGUGCGGCAUGCACGCGAUAUGGGCAGCAAAAAAGGUUCUAGUGCUGCACACCAACAAGAACUUCGACCAGCAGAGGACCAACUGGGUGAUGCGCCAGUACCACCUCGAGGACCUGGAGCAAGAGAAGGAGCGGGAGUUGGUCCUCUGCAAGAUUUUCUACCAGACGAACAGUAGGGCCAGGAGUAAAAAGAUUAUAAGUUAG
rnacentral:rRNA from 1 species